rnacentral:lncRNA from 1 species
GUCAUCUUUAAAAAUUGGAGUUAUCUCCCAUUGUCCAGAAUGCUUUAUUGACAAUGCAAUAUUAAUUUUACUUCCCACUGAUCAAUUAACGCAAUCUUUACCCUUCAGUGCUUACAGACACUUUGAUUGGUUGAAGAAGCCGAAGUUAUAAGAGAGAUUGACCUUUAGGUUGGAAUUUUUGCUUGUUGCUUGUACAUGUAAAACUAAAAUCAAUGACCCA